UGCCUGAUGGAGGGGGAUAACUACUGGAACGGUAGCUAAUACCGCAUAACGUCGCAAGACCAAAGAGGGGGACCUUCGGGCCUCUUGCCAUCGGAUGUGCCCAGAUGGGAUUAGCUUGUUGGUGGGGUAACGGCUCACCAAGGCGACGAUCCCUAGCUGGUCUGAGAGGAUGACCAGCCACACUGGAACUGAGACACGGUCCAGACUCCUACGGGAGGCAGCAGUGGGGAAUAUUGCACAAUGGGCGCAAGCCUGAUGCAGCCAUGCCGCGUGUAUGAAGAAGGCCUUCGGGUUGUAAAGUACUUUCAGCGGGGAGGAAGGGAGUAAAGUUAAUACCUUUACUCAUUGACGUUACCCGCAGAAGAAGCACCGGCUAACUCCGUGCCAGCAGCCGCGGUAAUACGGAGGGUGCAAGCGUUAAUCGGAAUUACUGGGCGUAAAGCGCACGCAGGCGGUUUGUUAAGUCAG
rnacentral:rRNA from 1 species